rnacentral:tRNA from 1 species
GGCCCGUUAGCUCAGUUGGUUAGAGCGUCGUGCUAAUAACGCGAAGGUCGUGGGUUCGAUCCCCCCACGCGCCA